GACGAACGCUGGCGGCGUGCUUAACACAUGCAAGUCGAGCGAUGAAGCACCUUCGGGUGUGAAUUAGCGGCGAACGGGUGCGGAACACGUGAAGCAUCUGCCUUCAACUCUGGGAUAACUCCGGGAAUCCGGGGCAAAUACCGGAUAUGAGCCUUGAUCGCAUGAUCGGGGCUGGAAAGUUUUUCGGUUGAAGAUGACUUCGCGGCCGAUCAGCUUGUUGGUGAGGGAAUGGCUCACCAAGGCGACGACGGGUAGCCGGCCUGGGAGGGCGACCGGCAACACUGGGACUGAGACACGGCCCAGACUCAGACGGGAGGCAGCAGUGGGGAAUAUGGGGCAAUGGAGGAAACUCUGACCCAGCGACGCCGCGUGAGGGAGGAAGGCCUUCGGGUUGUAAACCUCUUUCAGUAGGGAAGAAGCGAAAGUGACGGUACCUACAGAAGAAGCACAGGCUAACUAUGUGCCAGCAGCCGCGGUAA
rnacentral:rRNA from 1 species